rnacentral:lncRNA from 1 species
UUUCCAUGACACUUCGCAUCAUCCAAACUACUGCAUAGAAAGAUAAUUAUUACUUUUCUACAGAGGAUAUACAAACUUUUUCCAAAGAUUUAUUUUCCCCGAAGAAAUUACUUAUAUCUUGUUUGGAUUAAUAGCAAGAUGGUAUUAUUGUUGAUGACAAAUGCAAGUCCCAUUAAAAGAUAUACAUCAGGCAGGUUACAUCUCGAUGGACAACAAUUUAACUUGUUAAUAUUGAAGUUUAUUAGCUCUCCUACCAAUAUCUCUUAGCACCAUUGGCCGUUUUGUCAUCGAGUUAAAUCAGUUUCUCGAAUAUUAUUAUUAUUUUUAAUAUCCUUCUAUACUUUUUUUUUAUUAGUCGUUAAUAUUGAGUUAAAUUUUGGAUUGGCGUAAUUUUAACUUGGUAACAGUUUUACUAUCGACUGAUAUCAUUUCUCAGGCUUCCCGGAAUUUCUAGAGUUUUUUUAUCCAAAGGUUGGUCAACGAGUUUCGAGUGGUUCUCCCAUUUUAGUGGAAAAACUAACUCAUGAUUGAUGAUCUGAUGUUUCAACAGAGAACAUUGUGUUUUUGCUUGUGAACAAGAUGGUGAUGGGCAACUAUGUUAUUAUUCCACGGGAAGGGUAAUCAAUUUAAUCUUGUAAAGGUAAUUCCUAUUCCUUAUCAGUCAGCAAUUACCAAGGAUAAUGUCUCCAUUCGAAUCCAUGGAGUCCUCUAUGUCAAGGUAUGUCUUUAUUUGAUUUUUUGGUGUGGCUUAAAUAAACUGAUUACAUGAGAUUCUAAGUGAAUGCUGACAUCCAUUUUCCUUUUUCGUGUUCUGAAGAUCAUUGACCCUAAGUUGGGAUGGUAUGGAGUUGAGAAUCCAUUGUAUGAUGUGAUUCAGGUUGCACAAA